GUCGUGCUGCUCCGCGGGAGCGAAGGCCUCCCAGGGGCCAGGAGCCCGCUCGGGUUUUCCUAGCUGUCGAUGGCGCUCGAGGCGGGUGUGACCCCCUCAUUCGCCCGCGCUACCCGACUGAUGGCGCUCUGUGGCUGUGGGAGCCGGGAACUAAGUGCCUGAGGUCUGGGAUUAAAAGUAUUUGCCUUCACUCCUGGUUUAUGAAGUCACAGAUUUGGAGAAAGCUAGAGACACCCCACAGAAGGGACUAAUCCGUUACGACAGUCUCAGGCCAGGAAGAGCGCCAACGGGACGAGCAACGCCCCCGCCCCCUCCCGGUAAGGAGGACGACGAAAAAAGCGUGGCACGCCACCAGCAGCGAAAGCAAGCAUCGAAGGGCUACACACACCACGGUCCUCCAAACCCUUUGUCUGAAAAAACCGGAAGGUCUCCCGACACACGCUCCCGUCCGGAGGAACCCGGACUGUUCCCAUCAGAGCAGAGAAACGCGAGGGGGGGGGGGGGGGGUGACCGACGGAAUCAGGAUACCCAGCGGCACCGCACAAAGCUGGGCCCAGGAGGCUCUCGUACAAAAAGGAGGGAAAAAAAAAACCC